CUUCAUCCACAAGACUCUAAUUCACAUGCUUCAUCUGCCAAAUCCACCAGCUUAACUGCAAAAUGAGGAGGUUGAACCAUUAUCUGAUCUCUAUGGAUACCUUUUAGAACUGUUAAGAAUUCACCACUGGGCAUGGCGGCUCACACCUGUAAUCCCAGCAUUUUGGGAGGCUGAGGCGGGCAGAUUGCUUGAGCUCAGGAGUUCGAGACCAGCCUGGACAACAUAGCGAGACCCCAUCUCUACGAAAAGUACAAAACUUAGCCAGGUGUGGUGGUGUGUGCCUAUAGUUCCAGCUACUUGGGAGGCUGAAGUGGGAGGAUGGCUUGAGAGGUUGCAAGGAGCCGAGAUCGAGCCACUGCAUUCCAGCCUGGGUGACAGACCAAGAGCCUGUCUAAAAAAAAAACCAAAAAACAAACAAACAAAAAAACUUAAACUUUCUUGCAGAUGAGCAGUCUGUGUUAAAAAAGAAAAAAAAAAAAGAAGGAAAAAGGAUUCAACUUUCUCCCCAGCCAUUUUGAGUUAUGUCAUACAUAGGAUAUUUAAAGGAACCUCACUCGUCUCAAGUUUGGCCGAGACACCAAAACAAUAAGGUCACACUUCAAAGUUACGGGCAAGUCCACCAAUACAGGAUUUGCAAAAGAAGAUUAUAGAAAACCAAUUUUCAUGCCGGGCGCGCUGGCUGACGCCUGUAAUCCCAGCACUUUGGGAGGCCGAGGCAGGUGGAUCACGAGGUCAGGAGAUCGAGACCAUCCUGGCCAACAUGGUAAAACUCCAUCUCUACUAAAAAUACAAAAAUGAGCUGGAUGUGGUGGUACGUGCUUGUAAUUCCAGGUACUUGGGAGGCUGAGGUAGGAGAAUCACUUGAACCCAGGAGGCAGAGAUUGCAGUGAGCCAAGAUAGUGUCACUGCACUCCAACCUGGCGACAGAGCAAGACUCCAUCUCAAAAAAAAAAAAAAAAAAGAAAAGAAAACCAGUUUUCAAUCUUCAUUCACUACCCAUCCGCAGCCUGCAAAAGAUGUUGAAGAGAUUGAAAAAAAAAAAGACUCAAGGUUUUAGAAAAAGCUAUUGCUGAACUGAGUCACUGAGUCAUUGCCUCCAACCUCAUCCUAAGGGGUACAUGCCCCUCACCUCACACUAAUAAAACGAAUUUUACUGGGAUCACAUAGUAGAAUAUGUGUUUCUUCGUCUUUGAGAGGCACAGUGGGCUGAAGUCUGAGUUGUCUGGGAUGUGUAAAGGGUUAAGGGUUAAUGCAGGCAUCCUGUGGGGUAGAGAAGAGGUUGCGAUUUGGGAUAUAGCAGCACUUGCAACAAUGGGUCAAAUGAACAUA
rnacentral:lncRNA from 1 species